rnacentral:rRNA from 1 species
GACGAACGCUGGCGGCGUGCUUCAUACAUGCAAGUCGAACGAGAAUCUCUAGCUUGCUAGAGAGGAAAGUGGCGGACGGGUGAGUAAUGUGUAGAGAAUCUGCCCUGAAGCGGGGGACAACAGAGGGAAACUUCUGCUAAUACCCCAUAUGAGCGUAGUUGAGAUACUAUUCUUGAAAGAUUUAUCGCUUCAGGAUGAGUCUGCAUCUGAUUAGCUAGUUGGAGGUGUAAUGGACCACCAAGGCGACGAUCAGUAGCUGGUUUGAGAGGAUGAUCAGCCACAAUGGGACUGAGACACGGCCCAU